UAACCACUAGGCUACCCUGCCGCCCCUAUGGUGGACCAUGUGGUCCACCAUGAUUUGACCUUUAGAGAGGCUGUUCAGAGAGUGCUGCCCAGUCUAAGCCACCUCACCGUAGCAUCCUUCAUCCGGACGUUCCAAAAUGAGAAUAGAACUGAAAGACGACCACCACGUACGUGGUGGUAGAACGCGUCUGUUUACCAGACAAACAGGAAGCUGCCAUUAUCCAAACGCCCCUAUUGAGGAGCUGUUUUUCAGCCUGGCGGUGGAAGGUGUAUCAUCACAAACCCCAUGAACGUACGGCCCUUCUCCAGGCAAUGAGAGGCGGCUGUCGUGACAUUCCCGUCCUGUCAGAGGUGAAUGCGUCAUGCCAGAAGAUAUUUCCCCCGCUGUCUGGUCGAGGAGAAUGUCACCUGUGAUGUUGAUUUAAAAUCUGUGGCAACAGAUAAGCCUGAUUUUUGGUUUUUUUCGCAAUGGGAUUAUUUGUUUCUUGACAGUUUCUUUAUCUUUUCUGUACAAUUGAUCUAAAAUACAGCACAGUAGUACAAAUAGACCUAUUUUUCUUCCUUUGCAUAUGCAAAAAUAUUUACUGUAUGUUUGCAUUUGUACUGUAUUUGUGCUUACAGUCUGCUGUUUGACAUGUAUUGAGUCAUGUUGAAAUAUAAAACUAACA